rnacentral:rRNA from 2 species
GGUCAGGCGGGACUACCCGCUGAGU